rnacentral:rRNA from 1 species
UAGUGGAGCGAUCUGUCUGGUUAAUUCCGAUAACGAACGAGAUCCCGGCCAUUUAAAUAGUCUCGGUUACUUCGGUAGCUGUUGACUUCUUAAAGGAACCAUGUGGAAACAAUACCACAAGGAAGUGGGGCUAUAACA